rnacentral:tmRNA from 1 species
GGGGCUGAUUCUGGAUUCGACGGGAUUUGCGAAACCCAAGGUGCAUGCCGAGGGGCGGUUGGCCUCGUAAAAAGCCGCAAAAAAAUAGUCGCAAACGACGAAAACUACGCUUUAGCAGCUUAAUAACAGGCGAAUGUAAAGACUGACUAAGCAUGUAGUACCGAGGAUGUAGGAAUUUCGGACGCGGGUUCAACUCCCGCCAGCUCCACCA